AACCUAGCACACCUGCGGUGUGUACCUGCGGAGGGAUCAUUACAAGUGACCCCGGUCUAACCACCGGGAUGUUCAUAACCCUUUGUUGUCCGACUCUGUUGCCUCCGGGGCGACCCUGCCUUCGGGCGGGGGCUCCGGGUGGACACUUCAAACUCUUGCGUAACUUUGCAGUCUGAGUAAACUUAAUUAAUAAAUUAAAACUUUCAGCAAUGGAUCU
rnacentral:misc_RNA from 1 species